rnacentral:rRNA from 1 species
GUGUCAGCAGCCGCGGUAAGACGAAGGGGGCUAGCGUUGUUCGGAAUUACUGGGCGUAAAGCGCGUGUAGGCGGUUGCCAAAGUCGGGUGUGAAAGCCUUGAGCUCAACUCAAGAAUUGCACUCGAUACUUGGUGACUAGAGGACCGGAGAGGAUAGUGGAAUUCCCAGUGUAGUGGUGAAAUACGUAGAGAUUGGGAAGAACACCAGUGGCGAAGGCGGCUUUCUGGUCUGUAACUGACGCUGAGGCGCGAAAGCGUGGGGAGCAAACAGGAUUAGAUACCCUGGUAGUCCACGCCGUAAACGAUGAGUGCUAGAUGCUGCGGGUAUUGACCCCCGCGGUGUCGCAGCCAACGCGUUAAGCACUCCGCCUGGGGAGUACGGCCGCAAGGCUAAAACUCAAAGGAAUUGACGG